UUUGACAUGCAGGUGAUCGCCGUUGAAAGACGGUUUCCUCUUCGGAGGCACCUGCACAGGUGCUGCAUGGCUGUCGUCGGCUCGUGUCGUGUAGAUGUUGGGUUAAGUCCCGCAACGAGCGCAACCCUUAUCCCCAGUUGCCAUCAGGUAAAGCUGGGAACUCUGGGGAGACUGCCGGUGAUAAACCGGAGGAAGCGGGGAUGACGUCAAGUCCUCAUGGCCCUUACAUCCCGGGCUACACACGUGCUACAAUGGCAGGUACAGAGGGCUGCGAAGCCGCGAGGUGGAGCGAAUCCCAGAAAACCUGUCUCAGUCCGGAUUGAAGUCUGCAACUCGACUUCAUGAUGGCGGAAUCGCUAGUAACCGCGAAUCAGCAGGUCGCGGUGAAUACGUUCCCGGGCCUU
rnacentral:rRNA from 1 species